rnacentral:rRNA from 1 species
GACGUAGGAUGCAAGCGUUGUCCGGAUUUAUUGGGCGUAAAGAGUUCGUAGGUGGUUCGUUAAGUCUGAUGUUAAAGACUGGGGCUCAACCCUGGAAGUGCAUUGGAUACUGGCGGACUUGAGUGUGGUAGAGGCAAUCGGAAUUCCAGGUGUAGCGGUGAAAUGCGUAGAUAUCUGGAGGAACACCGGUGGCGAAGGCGGCAUCCUGGACCGAUACUGACGCUGAGGAGCGAAAGCCAGGGGAGCAAACGGG